CAGCCGCCGCGGUAAAACGUAGGUGGCAAGCGUUGUCCGGAAUUAUUGGGCGUAAAGGGCUCGCAGGCGGUUUCUUAAGUCUGAUGUGAAAGCCCCCGGCUCAACCGGGGAGGGUCAUUGGAAACUGGGAAACUUGAGUGCAGAAGAGGAGAGUGGAAUUCCACGUGUAGCGGUGAAAUGCGUAGAGAUGUGGAGGAACACCAGUGGCGAAGGCGACUCUCUGGUCUGUAACUGACGCUGAGGAGCGAAAGCGUGGGGAGCGAACAGGAUUAGAUACCCCCGUAGUCCCUGUCUCUUAUCC
rnacentral:rRNA from 1 species